rnacentral:rRNA from 1 species
AGAGUUUGAUCCUGGCUCAGAUUGAACGCUGGCGGCAUGGCUAAAACAUGCAAGUCGAACGAGAACCCCGCAAGGGGCAAAAGUGGCGGAAGGGUCAGUAACACGAUCGAAUGUACCCCGAGGUGGGGGAUAGGCAGGGGAAACUCUGCGUAAUACCCCAUGUGCACUCCGGUGGAAAGAUUUAUCGCCUUGGGAGCAGCGAUCGUCCUAUCAGGUAGUUGGCGGGGUAAAGGCCCACCAAGCCGAAGACGGGUAGCGGGUGUGAGAGCACGGCCCGCGACAUCGAGACUGAGACACUGCUCGGACUCCUACGGGAGGCUGCAGUAACGAAUAUUCCGCAAUGCGCGAAAGCGUGACGGAGCAAUGCCGCGUGCAGGAUGAAGCGGUUUCGCCGUGUAAACUGCUGUCAGGGGCAAGGAACACUGACCUGCCCCAGAGGAAGAGCCGGCUAACCCUGUGCCAGCAGCCGCGGUAAGACAGGGGGCUCGAGCGUUAAUCGGAAUCACUGGGCUUAAAGGGUGCGUAGGCGGGCCAGUAAGCGUCUUGUGAAAUCCCCCGGCUCAACCGGGGAACCGCGGGGCGAACUGCUGGUCUAGAGGAAGCUAGAGGCGGGUAGAACGAUAGGUGGAGCGGUGGAAUGCGUAGAUAUCUAUCGGAAUGCCGAAAGUGAAGACAGCCCGCUGGGGCUUUCCUGACGCUGAGGCACGAAAGCGUGGGGAGCAAACGGGAUUAGAUACCCUAGUAGUCC